rnacentral:rRNA from 1 species
AUCUUCGGAUUUAGUGGCGGACGGGUGAGUAACGCGUGAGAAUCUGCCUUCAGGACUGGUACAACAGCUGGAAACGGCUGCUAAUACCGGAUAUGCCAGAAAGUGAAACGGGUAAAACCGCCUGAAGAUGAGCUCGCGUCUGAUUAGCUAGUUGGUGGGGUAAGAGCCUACCAAGGCGGCGAUCAGUAGCUGGUCUGAGAGGAUGAUCAGCCACACUGGGACUGAGACACGGCCCAGACUCCUACGGGAGGCAGCAGUGGGGAAUUUCCCGCAAUGGGCGAAAGCCUGACGGAGCAAUACCGCGUGAGGGAGGAAGGCCCUUGGGUUGUAAACCUCUUUUCUCAGGGAAGAAAAAAAUGACGGUACUUGAGGAAUCAGCAUCGGCUAACUCCGUGCCAGCAGCCGCGGUAAUACGGAGGAUGCAAGCGUUAUCCGGAAUGAUUGGGCGUAAAGCGUCCGCAGGUGGCACUUCAAGUCUGUUGUCAAAGGUCGGGGCUUAACCCUGGAAAGGCAGUGGAAACUGAAGAGCUGGAGUGCAGUAGGGGCAGAGGGAAUUCCCAGUGUAGCGGUGAAAUGCGUAGAGAUUGGGAAGAACACCAGUGGCGAAAGCGCUCUGCUAGACUGCAACUGACACUCAUGGACGAAAGCUAGGGGAGCGAAUGGGAUUAGAUACCCCAGUAGUCCUAGCCGUA